rnacentral:rRNA from 1 species
GACUAACGCUGGCGGUAUGCCUUACAUUUUGCAAGUCGAACGAGUCUCCGGGCUUGCUCGGAAACUAGUGGCGAACGGCUGAGUAACGCGUAGGUGACCUACCCCGUAGUGUGGAAUAACUGCCCGAAAGGGUAGCUAAUACCGCAUGUUGAGCCGACUUCACUGUCGUCUCCAAAGCAAAAAUGCGCUAUGGGCGGGGCCUGCGUUCGAUUAGCUAGUUGGUGGGGUAACGGCUCACCAAGGCGACAAUCGAUAGGUGGUCUGAGAGGACGAUCACCCAGACUGGGACUGAGACACGGCCCAAACUCCUACGGGAGGCAGCAGUCGGGAAUUUUGCGCAUUGGGGGAAACCCUGACGCAGCAAUACCGCGUGUGGGAUGAAGGCCUUCGGGUCGUAAACCACUUUUUUCGGGGACGAUAAUGACGGUACCCGAAGAAUAAGCCACGGCUAACUACGUG